UAAGGAAUAUUGGUCAAUGGGCGUAAGCCUGAACCAGCCAUCCCGCGUGCAGGAAGAAGGCGCUAUGCGUCGUAAACUGCUUUUCCGGAGGAAGAAAACCCCUGACGUGUCGGGGCUUGCCGGUACUCUGGGAAUAAGCAUCGGCUAACUCCGUGCCAGCAGCCGCGGUAAUACGGAGGAUCCGAGCGUUAUCCGGAUUUACUGGGUUUAAAGGGUGCGUAGGCGGCUCCCUCAGUCAGCGGUGAAAUACCAUGGCCCAACCAUGGAACUGCCGUUGAUACUGUCGGUCUUGAAUAUGGUCAAGGUAGGCGGAAUGUUUAAUGUAGCGGUGAAAUGCUUAGAUAUUACACAGAACACCGAUUGCGAAGGCAGCUUACUGGUCCAUUAUUGACGCUGAGGCACGAAAGCGUGGGGAUCGAACA
rnacentral:rRNA from 1 species